AGUGAACGCUGGCGGUAGGCCUAACACAUGCAAGUCGAACGGCAGCACAGUAAGAGCUUGCUCUUACGGGUGGCGAGUGGCGGACGGGUGAGGAAUACAUCGGAAUCUACUUUUUCGUGGGGGAUAACGUUGGGAAACUUACGCUAAUACCGCAUACGACCUACGGGUGAAAGCAGGGGAUCUUCGGACCUUGCGCGAUUGAAUGAGCCGAUGUCGGAUUAGCUAGUUGGCGGGGUAAAGGCCCACCAAGGCGACGAUCCGUAGCUGGUCUGAGAGGAUGAUCAGCCACACUGGAACUGAGACACGGUCCAGACUCCUACGGGAGGCAGCAGUGGGGAAUAUUGGACAAUGGGCGCAAGCCUGAUCCAGCCAUACCGCGUGGGUGAAGAAGGCCUUCGGGUUGUAAAGCCCUUUUGUUGGGAAAGAAAAGCAGCGGGUUAAUACCCCGCUGUUCUGACGGUACCCAAAGAAUAAGCACCGGCUAACUUCGUG
rnacentral:rRNA from 1 species